rnacentral:rRNA from 1 species
AACGAACGCUGGCGGCAUGCCUAACACAUGCAAGUCGAACGAGACCUUCGGGUCUUGUGGCGAACGGGUGCGUAAGGCGUGGGAACCUGACCUUAGGUUCGGAAUAACUCCCCGCAAGGGGUGAUAAUACCGGAUAAAGCCUUCGGACCAAUGAUUUCUUGCCGUUGGAUGGGUCAGCGUUGAAUUAGCUAUUGGGUAGGGUAAAAGCCUACCAAGGCGACGAUCCAUAGAUGGUCAGGGAGGAGGACCAGCCACUAUGGGAACGAGGCGCGGCCCAGACUCCGACGGGAGGCAGCAGUGGGCAAUAUUGGACCGUGGGCGAAAGCCUGAUCCAGCGAUGCUGCGUGAGUGUUGAAGGAGUUAGGGUUGUAAGGCUCUUUUACGCGGGAUGAUAAUGACAGAACCGGGAGAAUAAGCCGCGGCUAACUCCG